CUGCUCCGGUGUGUGUGUUUGUUCAGUGUGCUACCUUGUCUCCCUCGGGGCUGGCGUCCGUGUGUGUCGCGGCGUUCCGUGUGGUUUGAACCGUGUGGCGGUUGGCGUUGCCGAUUUCGCCAGGUCUUCUCCAUCUCUCCGAAAUUUGAGGCUGUCGGCUGGCUGUGUGGGACCGGAGUUUUGUCUACGCUGUUGUUCACUCUCUCCAGGCUACUGUUUUGCAGCUACUGUUUUGCACUGCACUGGUUUGAGGCAUAUUGUUUGCUCCUGUCGUGGCAUCAACCAUGCCACCGUUCCCUGUUUUAUUCCCUUUGUUUACUGCCAGUGACCAUUUCAAGUGAUGCGCUAAAUUUGCUGACCUCCCGCGUCACUGUGCGCUUGGACUAACUACAGUUGGCCCACCUUCGUUGUCAGUCAUCAGUAAGCUCUGAGUCACUUUAUUUUCUUUUUGUUGGCAUGAAUACUGUGUUCUUUUGAGUUUAUUACUAUUUGCUUGCUUUAUCUUUUGUUUUUUUAUUAACCUGUUUGUUUUUUUGUGUUUAAUACUUUGUUUAUUUCGAAGUUUAAGUGUGUUUAAAUUAUUGCUUCAUUUUUUUUGGUUGUUUUGAGCCACUUUGAAUUGUGUAAUUGCCUUGUUUCCU